UUGACGGUGAAGGUCCAGACGUCAUCCGACUCCACCACCGCCUGGUCGCCGAAGUGGUCGCCGUCCGCCAGCACGUCCAGGGUGACGGGCGCGCCAUACGGGCCUGCGCGGAGCUUGCGCGCCUUGCCGUGGGCCAGCAGGAACACGUGCUCGGCGGGAGCGCCCGCCUCGACGAUGACGUCGCCCGCCUUGUACUCCGCCUGGGUGAACUGGCUGGCCAGGGCCGCAAUCACCUCGUCGUCGCCGCUCAGGCCCCGCAGCAGCGGCAGCUUGAGCAGCUCCUGCGGGAUGACCUGCACCUUCGCGCCGAUGUUGCUGAACACGAGGCGGUCAUCCGCCACCGCGUAGCUCAGCCGACGGUUGACCCGGUACGUGCCGCCCGUCACCUCUACCCAGGGCAGCAUGCGCAGCAGCCACCGCGGGGUGAUGCCCUGCAUCUGCGGGACGGUCUUCGUCGUCGUCGCGAGUUGACGCGCCGCGGCCGUGCCCAGGCUCAGCCGCGGGGUGUCGUCG
rnacentral:antisense_RNA from 1 species